AGCCUCUCAUAAGUCUCGGCGUUCUGAUGACGCGCCCAACGGUUCACUUUUAUCAGUUCCGCGGAAGAGGCACCAGUGGCCCUCGAUUGUGCGCGUCUCGUGAUUAAAUUCUAGUUAGCGAGAUUAGUAGUUCGAACUAGUGCCGUGUCGUGUGCGUGUGUGAAAUUCUGCCGUGCAUGUGCGUUCCAGAAAUCCUGCUCUGCAUCCACCGCCACGCUCGUCACAGACGGCCCGAACUACCGGGGACCAGCUACCGCUUCGAACCGGCCGCAACGCCCACGCCGCCGAAGGCCAGCGCUCGCCAAACCGCGCUCGGCAGCGGAACUGUACGGCCACGCCGUAACAGGACAGCAGCAACCGUCACCGCAGCGUCCUUGAAUUAACCGCCAUCGCGAUCAGCAUCCGCCAUCGCGUUCGCCAACCGCCACCAACCUAACCUGGAAGGUUAGGAAACCACGUGAGUGAAGAGGGAGAGAAGUCCGGCCUCGAAGGCGGACACGCGAACCGGCAACCAACAACCAGCUAACCAGCGUUCUCGCCGAGCAGCAGCAGCAGAUCUUCAAAAGUAGGUCGUCGAGGUUCCCUCGCAGGUGCGACCAACCACGUGCUCGAGUCCCGUCCGGUGCUAACCGGAGAGCAGCAACAGCAGCAGCAGCAAGUGAUGACGUCGUAGACGUCCGCAGCAAGAACACCAACCGACCAAUCCACCGAGUUUCUUCGAAACCGACCCGCAGCAGCAGAACAGGUAUCGAGACGACCACGUGAUCGUCGACAGCGAACGCAAACCGUGAGUAAAGCAUGCACUAGUGGUAAGACCAUGGCCCACACCUUUUCGCCCGCUACCAACCUUACCAACUAAGUAGCGCGGCGCUGCGCGUCGAGAUUGUUCCGACACGUCAAAAAAUGAAUACAUAAAACGCACAUAGCACACACACCUAAACCGGAAGAAGAAGAGAGAAGAAGGAAGACAAACACACGGUAGAAUCUGAACUGAAGUAACAGGAUCUCAGGGAAAGGAAGAGGGGAGGAUCGCCGGCAAACACAAACGUACGUACGAAAACAUGAAUGACUCACUGUAAAUAAACGAACACAAAACACUACAAAUGUUUUUCCUGCUGCACUUAACCUAAACACACAGUAGCUAUAAAACACUUAUGCUAGGGUGACCGAAAGAGUCGACUCAUGUUUUGGUCGCGACCGUUUAAAUAAAUGUAGAUUUUCUUUCAA